GACGAACGCUGGCGGCGUGCUUAACACAUGCAAGUCGAACGGAAAGGCCCUGCUUUUGUGGGGUGCUCGAGUGGCGAACGGGUGAGUAACACGUGAGUAACCUGCCCUUGACUUUGGGAUAACUUCAGGAAACUGGGGCUAAUACCGGAUAGGAGCUCCUGCUGCAUGGUGGGGGUUGGAAAGUUUCGGCGGUUGGGGAUGGACUCGCGGCUUAUCAGCUUGUUGGUGGGGUAGUGGCUUACCAAGGCUUUGACGGGUAGCCGGCCUGGGAGGGUGACCGGCCACAUUGGGACUGGGAUACGGCCCAGACUCCUACGGGAGGCAGCAGUGGGGAAUAUUGCACAAUGGGCGGAAGCCUGAUGCAGCCACGCCGCGUGCGGGAUGACGGCCUUCGGGUUGUAAACCGCUUUCGCCUGUGACGAGGCGUUAGUGACGGUAAUGGGUAAAGAAGCACCGGCUAACUACGUG
rnacentral:rRNA from 1 species